CCUACGGGUGGCAGCAGUGGGGAAUAUUGCGCAAUGGGCGAAAGCCUGACGCAGCGACGCCGCGUGAGGGAUGAAGGUCUUCGGAUCUUAAACCUCUUUCAGCAGAGGAGAACGGUCACUUUGCUAAUCAUCAUUGAAUUUACUGUACCUACAAAAGCAGCACCGGCUAACUCCGUGCCAGCAGCCGCGGUAAUACGGAGGGUGCGAGCGCUAAUCGGAAUUACUGGGCGUAAAGCGCUCGUAGUCGGUAGGUCAAGUCAAGGGUGAAAUCCCCGCGCUCAACGGGGGAACUGCCUUUGAUACUGGCAAACUGGAGUGUGGGAGAGGAUAGUGGAAUUCCAGGUGUAGGAGUGAAAUCCGUAGAUAUCGGGAGGAACAUCAGUGGCGAAGGCGACUAUCUGGAACAUAACUGACGCUGAGGAGCGAAAGCGUGGGUAGCAAACAGGAUUAGAUACCCGUGUAGUC
rnacentral:rRNA from 1 species